UUCUAUUAAAUUCAUAAUUUGGUUACUGAUUCCUUCAUUAUGAGGAUUUCUGCUUGUUUUUUUUCUUCAAUCUUUCUUUAUUGAAGUAAUUUUUCACUUCCUGUAUUUUUUCUUUGAUUUUGUCCUUUAUAUUAUUCUGUACUUCACAGAGCAAUUGAACAAUGUACAUUCUGAACUCCUUCUUGGACAUUUUUUCCACUGUGUUAUCGGUAGUUUCUAUUGUUGAAGCAUCUUGGUUUGUUUGGGGUCCCUUGUUUUUUUAUGUUCUUCAUGUGUAUUCCUAUCUAGAAGCAUGGCUCUAAGGCAGUACAAAUUCUACCCUGUAGAUCUAAUUGUUCUAAAUGUUUCCAGAACCUCACCUUUAAUGGUCAUACUGAUAUCAACAACAUCCAAUAAAAACAAUAUAUAGUUUUAAAUAUAAUAGCUCCCACUAAAGCAUCUACUGGUUUCUCACAUUAAACCAAAAUGAUGAGUUCAAUAACUAUCUAUAAUAUAAAUAGAAAAUUUGCUAAAACAGUUUACAAUUUCAAAUAGAUGAGAGAACAGAAGUAGUGUAGUACACAAAGUUAGCAAGUGAGGAAGAGAAUACCUAGAAGCAAAAAAUUACAGAAAGAGUGGAAGAGAAGCCAAAAGAGAUUGGAUAUUUUUUGGAGAAAAGUUGGAAAGAAAAUCUAAGAAAAAAGACAAGUGAGAGGAAGAACAUGAAUAAAGAGAAAAAAUUAAAGACUUAAGAGUACAAGAAAGAUGCAGACACCAUUCAUAUAAUAUUGUCCUCCAUACACUGAUACAUUAAAAAUACCAUGUUCCAAAUAUGGUAGAGAUAUUAGCAAAUCAAAAAAUAAAAUAAAUCUCAAUGGAAAGUUGAACUUUCUGUGUCAGUGUUCAAAAGUUUCUCAGUCAUGUUUUGGACAUCUCUCAGGAUCACCAAGCCCAGAUCAGCCCUCACAGACCCAGGCACUAUGUCACUGAUCUGGGCUUCAGAUACCUCAAGCUCAACCAUGCUGCAGUCCCAAUAUUUCAGUGCUGCUCCUACUUGCAGAGAGGUCGCCAGGGAUACAUUCAUGCAAAGGAGCAACCCUGAGAUGCAGCAGCAAGACAAGGGCUACCAGCACUCCAAACAGGAAGACCCUAGGCACCCCCACACUGGACCUGUAGGUCCUGGCCAGAGUUCCCAUACAGAGGCUCUUGUGGUGGCAAACCUGCUAUAACUCUGGCCCCAGGCCCUGGCCUGCAUCCCAAAAUAGGUGCAGCCACGUGCAACCAAACCUGGAGUCUCCUGACAGUAGACCUCUAGGAGAUGUUGGCAAAGGUAGUGGUAAUGGUUGGUGCCAGCAGGCAGCAGGUCAGCAGCAGCGGUAGUAAAACACUGUCAGCAGCACUGCAAUCACAGCUGUGAGGGCAGUGAUCUCUGGGUGGCAGCAGCUUGUCGCUAUCAGUCACAUUGGGAGCACAUGUGUCUAUGGUUGCAGCAGCGGGUGGCUGUAGCUGCAAGGGCAGCAGCACCCAGAAAGAAGAUCUCCAGGUGACCUCGAGGUGGC
rnacentral:lncRNA from 1 species